rnacentral:rRNA from 1 species
CCUACGAGCGGCAGCAGUGAGGAAUAUUGGUCCAUGGGCUUACGCCUGAACCAGCCAAGUCGCGUGAGGGAAGACUGCCCUAUGGGUUGUAAACCUCUUUUGUCAGGGAGCAAUUGGCGCUACGUGUAGCGUUAUCGAGAGUACCUGAAGAAAAAGCAUCGGCUAACUCCGUCCCAGCAGCCGCGGUAAUACGGGGGAUGCGAGCGUUAUCCGGAUUUAUUGGGUUUAAAGGUUGCGUAGGCGGAAUGCCAAGUCAGCGGUAAAAUCGCGGGGCUCAACCUCGCUCCGCCGUUGAAACUGGCGUUCUUGAGUGGGCGAGAAGUAUGCGGAAUGCGUGGUGUAGCGGUGAAAUGCAUAGAUAUCACGCAGAACUCCGAUUGCGAAGGCAGCAUACCGGCGCCCAACUGACGCUGAAGCACGAAAGCGUGGGUAUCGAACAGGAUUAGAUACCCGAGUAGUC